GAAAGUAAGCAAGGGCAGACGGUGGAUGCCUUGGCUCUCGGAGGCGACGAAGGACGUGAUAAGCUGCGAAAAGCUCGGGGGAGGCGCAAAUAGCCGUUGAUCCCGGGAUAUCCGAAUGGGGCAACCCGGCAGGCUGAAGGCCUGCCAUCCCGUAAGGGAGGCGAACGUGGGGAACUGAAACAUCUAAGUACCCAUAGGAGGAGAAAAUAAACAAUGAUUCCGUAAGUAGUGGCGAGCGAACACGGAAGAGCCCAAACCCAUGUCGUCUAGGCGACACGGGGGUUGUAGGACCACGACGUGGCAAGAAGGAAGGGAAAUGGAACGACUUGGAAAAGUCGGCCAUAGACGGUGAAAGCCCGGUACAUGACUCCCUUACGAAGCCUAGUGGUAUCCUGAGUAGCGCGGGGCACGAGAAAUCUUGCGUGAAACUGCGGGGCCCAUCCCGUAAGGCUAAAUACUCCCGAGAGACCGAUAGCGAACCAGUACCGUGAGGGAAAGGUGAAAAGAACCCCGAGCAGGGGAGUGAAAUAGACCCUGAACCCGUCUGCCUACAAGCGGUCGGAGCGUUGUUAUGACGUGACGGCGUGCCUUUUGCAUAAUGAACCUACGAGUUACCUUCCCCGGCAAGGUUAAGUACCUAAGGUACGGAGCCGAAGCGAAAGCGAGUCUGAAGAGGGCGGCCAGUCGGGGGGGGUAGACGCGAAACCGAGUGAUCUACCCUUGGCCAGGUUGAAGGUUGGGUAACACCAACUGGAGGACCGGAUGGGUAAGCGUUGAAAAGCUUUCCAAUGAGCUGAGGGUAGGGGUGAAAGGCUAAUCAAACUCGGAGAUAGCUCGUACUCCCCGAAAUGCAUUUAGGUGCAGCCUCUUUAUAGUAUAUCGUGAGGUAGAGCGACUGAUUGGAUGCGAGGGCUUCACCGCCUAUCAAGUCCAGAUAAACUCCGAAUGCGCGAUAUAUAUUUACAGGGAGUGAGGGCGCGGGUGCUAAGGUCCGUGUCCGAGAGGAGAAGAAUCCAGACCACCGGCUAAGGCCCCCAAAUGAUCGUUAAGUUGAACUAACGAGGUCGGAUCGCAGAGACAGCUAGGAUGUUGGCUUGGAAGCAGCCAUUCAUUUAAAGAGUGCGUAACAGCUCACUAGUCGAGCGAUCUGGCGUGGAUAAUAAUCGGGCAUAAACGAUCUGCCGAAGCCGUGGAUGUCGUAAGACAUGGUAGGGGAGCAUUCCAUGCGGCGUCGAAGAUGAGGGAUGACCCUUGUUGGAGCGCAUGGAAAAGCAAAUGUAGGUAUGAGUAACGAUAAGGGGGGCGAGAAACCCCCCCGCCGAAAGACCAAGGUUUCCUGAUCAACGCUAAUCGGAUCAGGGUGAGUCGGGACCUAAGGCUAAGCCGAACGGCGACGCCGAUGGAAGAAUGGGUUAAUAUUCCCAUACUGCCUCAUGGAGUGACGUGGAGACGGAGAAGUGACAGUCCUGCCGGCUGACGGAAUAGCCGGUUGAAGGGUGUAGAUAUUGAUUCCCGUAGGCAAAUCCGCGGGGAGAGUCGAACCUGAGAGUAUACCGAGUACUUGUACGAGGUAAUAUGGACGUAACCAUGCUCCCAAGAAAAUCCGCUAAACUUAUCCAUGCGGCACCCGUACCGUAAACGGACACACGUGGUCGGGUUGAGAAUACUGAGGCGCUCGAGUGACUCACGGUUAAGGAACUAGGCAAAUUGACCCUGUAACUUCGGGAUAAAGGGUCCUCGUCGUAAGGCGAGGCGCAGAGAAUAGGUCCAGGCAACUGUUUAACAAAAACACAUGGCUGUGCUAAAUGGAAACAUGACGUAUACAGCCUGACACCUGCCCGGUGCUGGAAGGUUAAGAGGAGAUGUCAUCGCGAGAGAAGCGUUGAAUUGAAGCCCCAGUAAACGGCGGCCGUAACUAUAACGGUCCUAAGGUAGCGAAAUUCCUUGUC
rnacentral:rRNA from 1 species